CCUACGGGUGGCAGCAGUGAGGAAUAUUGGUCAAUGGGCGAGAGCCUGAACCAGCCAAGUCGCGUGAAGGAUGACGGCCCUACGGGUUGUAAACUUCUUUUGUCAGGGAGCAAUUGAGUCCACGUGUGGUCUUAGCGAGAGUACCUGAAGAAAAAGCAUCGGCUAACUCCGUGCCAGCAGCCGCGGUAAUACGGAGGAUGCGAGCGUUAUCCGGAUUUACUGGGUGUAAAGGGCGUGUAGCCGGGAAGGCAAGUCAGAUGUGAAAUCCGGAGGCUCAACCUCCGAAUUGCAUUUGAAACUGUUUUUCUUGAGUACUGGAGAGGCAGACGGAAUUCCUUGUGUAGCGGUGAAAUGCGUAGAUAUAAGGAGGAACACCAGUGGCGAAGGCGGUCUGCUGGACAGCAACUGACGGUGAGGCGCGAAAGCGUGGGGAGCAAACAGGAUUAGAUACCCUUGUAGUC
rnacentral:rRNA from 1 species